GAAAAAUUAACUUCUAAAUGGAGGGGAGAGGAGAGAAGAAAAACCAGACUCGGAACGUACCCACUGCUGCCGUGCGGGUCUGAAAUGUGCCCAGAAAGCCUUGCGUUCAAGGUGUGUUCCCCAAUAUGGAGCUGCUGGGAGAUGGUGGGAACUGUAAGAGGUAGGAGGCCAUAGGUCAUGAGGUGUGCCCUUGAAGAGUUAAUGAGGCCAGGCCCUCCUCCUUCUCUCUGCCUUGUUCACUGGGCCAUGGGGUGAGCAUCUCUCUCUACCGUAGAGCUCACAGUUCACCGCUCUGAUGUGUUCCCUCACCAGAGCCAUGGACUAAGACUGUGAGCCGAAAUAAACCUCCUCUUGACAAGGCUGAUUAUCUGGAGGACUCGUCACAGACACAGGAAGCUCACUAACGCAACCACCAUUUAAUGCAAGAAUGUUCUGGAAGUGAUGACAAAAAUAUCAGGACCAGAAUAGGGGACAGUUCAAGGAGGCAUCCAGGAGGGAAAGGUUUCACCACCGCCUGGCUGGCAAACAAUGGGCACCUUGGAAAACCAACAGAGCCACCAUACUGUACAGGAGAGAGAAACAACCCAGUGUAUUCCAGCGACAGGAAAUAG
rnacentral:lncRNA from 1 species